GACGAACGCUGGCGGCGUGCCUAAUACAUGCAAGUUGAGCGCUGAAGGUUGGUACUUGUACCAACUGGAUGAGCAGCGAACGGGUGAGUAACGCGUGGGGAAUCUGCCUUUGAGCGGGGGACAACAUUUGGAAACGAAUGCUAAUACCGCAUAAAAACUUUAAACACAAGUUUUAAGUUUGAAAGAUGCAAUUGCAUCACUCAAAGAUGAUCCCGCGUUGUAUUAGCUAGUUGGUGAGGUAAAGGCUCACCAAGGCGAUGAUACAUAGCCGACCUGAGAGGGUGAUCGGCCACAUUGGGACUGAGACACGGCCCAAACUCCUACGGGAGGCAGCAGUAGGGAAUCUUCGGCGAUGGACGAAAGUCUGAACGAGCAACGCCGCGUGAGUGAAGAAGGGUUUCGGAUCGUAAAACUCUGUUGGUAGAGAAGAACGUUGGUGAGAGUGGAAAGCUCAUCAAGUGACGGUAACUACACAGAAAGGGACGUCUAACUACGUG
rnacentral:rRNA from 1 species